rnacentral:lncRNA from 1 species
CCGAAACCUGUCCACGCGGAUGGCGGAGCGGCCCAGGGCGCCGUUGCUUUGGGAAAACUCUCCGGAAGCUCCGUCUGAAACCUCUGCCUCAAAACCACGUCGUCCAGGAGGGCAUUCCGGAGGCUCAUUUUUAACAGGCAGGAGAAAGCAGCACAACGGAAGGCACACUCCGUACCCAAGGCAUUGAACGUACGGAUCAAACAAUAAAAUGUGCUUAUUCUCCCA